rnacentral:rRNA from 1 species
UACGGAGGGGGCUAGCGUUAUUCGGAAUUAUUGGGCGUAAAGGGCGCGUAGGCGGCCCGGUAAGUCAAAGGUGAAAUCCCUCGGCUCAACUGAGGAACUGCCUUUGAAACUGUCGGGCUUGAGGCCGGGAGGGGGUAGCGGAAUUCCCAGUGUAGCGGUGAAAUGCGUAGGAUAAUUGGGAGGAACACCGGUGGCGAAGG